rnacentral:rRNA from 1 species
ACAGAGGUCCCGAGCGUUAGGCGGAAUCACUGGGCUUAAAGCGUGUGUAGGCGGAUGCCUAAGUACCUUGUGAAAUCCCACGGCUCACCCGUGGAACUGCUUGGUAUACUGGGUGUCUUGAGCCACUUAGGGGCUACCGGAACAAAUGGUGGAGCGGUGAAAUGCGUAGAUAUCAUUUGGAACGCCAAUGGUGAAAACAGGUAGCUGGGAGUGUGCUGACGCUGAGACACGAAAGCCAGGGGAGCAAACGGGA